rnacentral:rRNA from 1 species
CUAGCUGUAAACGAUGGAUACUAGGCGUUGAGAGUAUCGACCCUCUCAGUGUCGUUGCUAACGCGUUAAGUAUCCCGCCUGGGGAGUACGCGCGCAAGCGUGAAACUCAAAGGAAUUGACGGGGGCCCGCACAAGCGGUGGAGUAUGUGGUUUAAUUCGAUGCAACGCGAAGAACCUUACCAGGGCUUGACAUGUCCGGAACCCUGCCCAAAGGCGGGGGUGCCUACGGGAACCGGAACACAGGUGGUGC